rnacentral:rRNA from 1 species
CCUACGGGGGGCAGCAGUGAGGAAUAUUGGUCAAUGGACGAGAGUCUGAACCAGCCAAGUAGCGUGAAGGAUGACUGCCCUAUGGGUUGUAAACUUCUUUUAUAUGGGAAUAAAAUGUUCCACGUGUGGGAUUUUGUAUGUACCAUAUGAAUAAGGAUCGGCUAACUCCGUGCCAGCAGCCGCGGUAAUACGGAGGAUCCGAGCGUUAUCCGGAUUUAUUGGGUUUAAAGGGAGCGUAGGUGGAUUGUUAAGUCAGUUGUGAAAGUUUGCGGCUCAACCGUAAAAUUGCAGUUGAAACUGGCAGUCUUGAGUACAGUAGAGGUGGGCGGAAUUCGUGGUGUAGCGGUGAAAUGCUUAGAUAUCACGAAGAACUCCGAUUGCGAAGGCAGUUCACUGGACUGCAACUGACACUGAGGCUCGAAAGUGUGGGUAUCAAACAGGAUUAGAUAAGUC